GAUGAACGCUAGCGACAGGCCUAACACAUGCAAGUCGAGGGGCAGCACAUGCGUAGCAAUACAAUGGUGGCGACCGGCGCACGGGUGAGUAGCACGUAUGCAACCUACCUGUAAGAGGGGAAUAACCCGGAGAAAUUCGGACUAACACCGCAUAAUACCUCGAAGCUGCAUGGCUUUGAGGUUAAAUAUUUAUAGCUUACAGAUGGGCAUGCGUAACAUUAGAUAGUUGGUGAGGUAACGGCUCACCAAGUCAACGAUGUUUAGGGGUUCUGAGAGGAAGGUCCCCCACACUGGUACUGAGACACGGACCAGACUCCUACGGGAGGCAGCAGUGAGGAAUAUUGGUCAAUGGGCGAGAGCUUGAACCAGCCAAGUCGCGUGAAGGAAGAAGGUUCUAUGGAUUGUAAACUUCUUUUGUAAGGGAAUAAAAAAGCUUACGUGUAGGCUAUUGUAUGUACUUUACGAAUAAGGAUCGGCUAACUCCGUGCCAGCAGCCGCCGUAAUAC
rnacentral:rRNA from 1 species